UCCGGGGAUAGGUAGUGGAUGUGCGUGUCAAUCGCGCCGGCGGUGAUAAUGAGCCCUUCGCCGCCGAUGACUUCGGUAGCAACACCGACGAUGAUGUCGAUAUUGUCCUGGGUAUCGGGGUUGCCGGCGUUGCCGAUUUUUAAGAUCUUGCCAUCUUUAAUAGCAAUAUCGGCUUUGAAGACGCCGGUGUAGUCAAUGAUGAGCGCGUUGGUGAUGACCAAAUCUGGAAUGCCAUUGACAGCGGUUAAGCGCCCAUUUUGGCCCAUGCCAUCACG
rnacentral:sRNA from 1 species